AUUGAACGCUGGCGGCAGGCCUAACACAUGCAAGUCGAGCGAGCGGCGGACGGGUGAGUAAUGUCUGGGAAACUGCCUGAUGGAGGGGGAUAACUACUGGAAACGGUAGCUAAUACCGCAUACCAUCAGAUGUGCCCAGGUGGGAUUGGAUAGUAGGUGGGGUAACGGCUCACCUAGGCGACGAACCCUAGCUGGUCUGAGAGGAUGACCAGCCACCCUGGACCUGAACCACGGUCAAACCUCCUCCGGGAGGAAGCAGUGGGGAAUAUUGCACAAUGGGCGCAAGCCUGAUGCAGCCCUGCCGCGUGUGUGAAGAGGGCCUUCGGGUUGUAAAGCACUUUCAGCGGGGAGGCGUUACCCGCAGAGGAAGCACCGGCUAACUCCGUGCCAGCAGCCGCGGUAAUUC
rnacentral:rRNA from 1 species